GCUUUAUAGAUAAUUUAAAUUUUAUUGGUGUAUUAGUUAAAGAUUAAGUUUGAUUAUUUAUUUCGUUGGGGCGACGAAGGCAUAAUUUUAAAUAACUGCUAAAGAAAUGAAGUAUUCUAUAAUAAGAGAAUUAUUUAUAUUGAUCCUAUAUAAAGAUUUAAAGGCUAAGUU
rnacentral:rRNA from 1 species